rnacentral:rRNA from 1 species
GAUGAACGCUGGCGGCGUGCCUAAUACAUGCAAGUCGAGCGAACGGACGAGAAGCUUGCUUCUCUGAUGUUAGCGGCGGACGGGUGAGUAACACGUGGAUAACCUACCUAUAAGACUGGGAUAACUUCGGGAAACCGGAGCUAAUACCGGAUAAUAUUUUGAACCGCAUGGUUCAAAAGUGAAAGACGGUCUUGCUGUCACUUAUAGAUGGAUCCGCGCUGCAUUAGCUAGUUGGUAAGGUAACGGCUUACCAAGGCAACGAUGCAUAGCCGACCUGAGAGGGUGAUCGGCCAAACUGGAAUUGAGACACGGUCCAGACUCCUACGGGAGGCAGCAGUAGGGAAUCUUCCGCAAUGGGCGAAAGCCUGACGGAGCAACGCCGCGUGAGUGAUGAAGGUCUUCGGAUCGUAAAACUCUGUUAUUAGGGAAGAACAUAUGUGUAAGUAACUGUGCACAUCUUGACGGUACCUAAUCAGAAAGCCACGGCUAACUACGUG